rnacentral:rRNA from 1 species
GAUGAACGCUGGCGGCGUGCCUAAUACAUGCAAGUCGAGCGAACGGACGAGAAGCUUGCUUCUCUGAUGUUAGCGGCGGACGGGUGAGUAACACGUGGAUAACCUACCUAUAAGACUGGGAUAACUUCGGGAAACCGGAGCUAAUACCGGAUAAUAUUUUGAACCGCAUGGUUCAAAAGUGAAAGACGGUCCUGCUGUCACUUAUAGAUGGAUCCGCGCUGCAUUAGCUAGUUGGUAAGGUAACGGCUUACCAAGGCAACGAUGCAUAGCCGACCUGAGAGGGUGAUCGGCCACACUGGAACUGAGACACGGUCCAGACUCCUACGGGAGGCAGCAGUAGGGAAUCUUCCGCAAUGGGCGAAAGCCUGACGGAGCAACGCCGCGUGAGUGAUGAAGGUCUUCGGAUCGUAAAACUCUGUUAUUAGGGAAGAACAUAUGUGUAAGUAACUGUGCACAUCUUGACGGUACCUAAUCAGAAAGCCACGGCCAACUACGUG